UAUGAUAUAUACAUAUUGUGUUGGGUGCCAAUAAAAUAUUUUAACAAAUAAAUAUAAGGUGCUCUAUUUAAACAGUUAAUUAUUUUUAUACAUCUUAGACAUUUUUAGAGACAAAUAUUUUUUAUACUCAUUUUGAAAUACAUGUUAAUUUUAUUUGUCUGAAAACUUCAAUCUAUAUUUUUGUAAGUAUUUAUUGAAUUAUUUUUAAGUAAAUAAUUUAAUGUUAAAGUAAAAUUUAAGAAGACGUUACACACACAUCUGUUGUUUUGUCUUAUAAACACACAAUAAAAUUAAAACAUGCUUACACAGAUUAUACAGAACUUGCUUAAUUUUGGUAUUAGAGUAAAGACACCUAUUUUAAAUUUAAAAGAGAACAAUAUUCCGGAGGGCAAGAUGUGAUUUAUCCAUUUUCUUCAAUUAUAACAGUCAAUUUACUGAUUAUAAAAAUAACACAUUUGUCAACGGUUUUUUAAUUCACCAAAACUUAAAAAAAAAAAAUAACUUUCAAAAAUGUAACAUCUGGCCCUCCAAAAUAUUGUUUUCUAUUAAUUUAAUAAUAAUGCUUUUAGUCUAAAAUCAAAAUUAAGAGAGUUCUGUGUAAGCAUGUUGUUACUAUACCUUAUGUUUGUAAGACAGAAACACAAAUGUAAGUGUAACUUCCUCUUUAGUAAUUAUAACCCGUAUAGGGUAUACAUAUGAAUAAAACUAGAAAGACUAUUAAAAAAAAAAAGUAAG